rnacentral:lncRNA from 1 species
UCCACAGUGAAAUGGUGGUUGUACAGUUGGUGAACAGCCCACAGAGAGGAUGCUGGAGCUGUGGCUAAGUGGGAAAUAGUGGCCCCUGGGAUUGCCAAGGCUGAGAGAGCCGCUGCCCGGCUGCGCCGCGCCCUCGCGGAUCGGGGAGUCCAAUUUAAGCCGGCGGAGUUGGCGGAGCGGAGGCGCUGCGGCGGCGGCGGACUCGGCGCGGCUCGGGCACCUCUCUUCCUUAUCUCUUACUCAAACUUCUCUGCUCCAACUCAGCUCCAUCGCCAUUGGUCUGACGCAGCGCGCGGGGACGUCAGGCGAGCGCCGCGCCCAUUGGCUGCGGGGCGCGGGGCGCAGCUGUUCUGAUUAUCAUAUUUCAGCCUCGUCGCUGCCGAGCGCCACUGACCGCUCGGCGAGCCCGCGGGAGAGGAUUAGGGCUCCCGGGGCAACUUGCUCGGGGCUCAGACCGCUCUCCCCGGCUGCUCGGGCUGCCCGGCUGCUCUGGCUUUUGGCCUCCCUCUCCUCCUCCUCCUGCCCCCUCCCGCGCUCCUUCCCGGCCGCGCCGCCAGCGCCCUCGCCUCCUGUCGCGCUGCUCCUCCGCCCUGCGCUCCUGGGGUCCCCGCUGUCCGGCUGGCCGUGUUGCGCGCGGGGCUCACUUUUCUGCCGCCGGUGGCGAGUGGCUGGUGGAUCAAUCUUUCUUUUUCCCACUGGUCUCAUUUUUAAAGGCACUGAUUCUGUUCUGAGGACCAAUCAUAUGGAUAUGAAAAUUCAUGAAGAAACUUCAUCAGCAAACGUAUCAGUUGGAGACUGAAGUUCCCCACUCAUCUUGUCGCCACUCUCAUCUUUCAGGGGUAAAAGAAGAAAAUGUUCGCUUUCAGAAGGUACCUGCAGGAGUCCUGGAGCUUCAGCCAGUUGCUCAGCCUUCUCUUUUCAUCAGUACUCUUUACUAUUUUACUGUCAUACUGUAAACUUCCAGAUUCUGUAGGAUAAAACAAACCCCCGCCCAUUCUGUGUGCUGUGAAAAGAAACAAAAUUAGCUUUAAAAGUAACCAUGAAACUGUGGCAUUCCAUAAAUUGCAAAUUAUAAAUGUGUGUUACAAUACUAAAGAUCCAAUAAUCUCUUGGCAGCUUUUUUGAGCAGAAAAUCUUUUUUUAAGUUAAUGUUAUAUUGAGGCCUUUGCUUUGGGGAGAGAAUAAGAAGAGUUUUAAAGACAUUUUUCAGAAUCCUAGAUUUGUAACCCUUUCUCUUUUCCAGAUUUACCGUGUAAUCUUUAAUCUCUGGAAAACUUUGAUUUAACAUGUUAUCUAAAGUUAUUACUUUAUGGUUUCAAUGCUGCAGCCAGAAUGCCAUGCAUUUUGUGGUGCCUAGAAAAUUACAAAUAUCUCUGUCUAUUUAGGUGAGAGGUUCCUUUCAUACUGUUUGUUCCCCCUUGUUUUUUAACUCUACACAUAAAAACACUAGAAAAUGUGAUAGCACAUUUUUAGCAACUUGAAAUUGUAGUGGAUUGUAUAUGAAUACUAAAUAUAAGAAUGUCUGCUUUAAUUUUUACAAUUAACUACGUCUCCUUUUAGGUUUAUUUCGUACUAUUAAAUAUGGCUUCUUUAAAAUAAGGAUUCUGAUAAAGAUUCAGAGGUGAUUGCAUUUUAGCCUUUUUCCAAAGACUUGAAGUUAGUAGUCUGUCCCUGUUAUGAUCCUUUAUUCACAUUGGGUAACACUGUAAUCAACUUCACAAUAUUUGCUAAUUUUCUUCUAAGAAUUGGGUUGAAAUUCCAUACUCUCAAGAUGUGAAGCUGCCUAUGGUAUGAAAUAAAAUCCUCAGAGUAAAGGAAUUUUAAAGUGUU